rnacentral:lncRNA from 1 species
CCAGUGUUACAACAGGAAGAAACCUAAACUAAACUAACUUUAUUUAUACUGGAUAGUUCUAUCAGUUCUAAACUGUUCUUCCUAGAGGUACUACAGGAGGAAACCUAAACUAAACUACCUUUAUUUAUGCUGGAUAGUUCUAUCAGUUCUAAACUGUUCUUCCUAGAGAGGUCUAGUCAGGAUCAUCUCUUAUUGAUCCAAUGUUACGACAGGAGGAAACCUAAACUAACUUUAUUGGUACUGGAUAGCUCUAUCAGUUCUAAACUGUUCUUCCUAGAUGUCCAGUAAGAGUCGUUUCUUAUUGAUCCAGUGUUACUACAGGAGAAACCUAAACUAACUGUAUUUAUAAUGGCUAGCUUUAUCAGUUCUAACUUGUUUUCCCUAGAGCUCUGUUUUGCUUUGUUUGAAACUGUGUUAAAUUCACAUAAAAGUAACCACAACACAAGAUUUCCAUACAAUCAUUUCACAUGUAGCGUUUACUCGGCUGCUCCGAUUGUUCAUGGUUGGAUGCAAACGACGGUACUUUGUGUUAAUAACAUGCCAGUAACAUGAAGUACGUAGCGUUCAGCCGACGCUAUUUGCGGGCGUUUCAACGGAGAAUAUGCUGAAAACAUGGCUGCUGGCCAGAGGCUGCUGGCAAGAGGUGAGUAUUUUACUUUCAGUUACAUUCAAUUCGUUGAGCUCUCAUUCUGAGGCGUUUUGUUCAUAUUUUAGCACAAAAUUGGAUCGUGUGUUCUUGCGUCGUUUCAAGAAAUGUCUUGGUAUAAUGUUUCCAACUUGGCUGGCGACCUCCACGCUUCUGUUUGUGCUGCUCUUGGGCUUGUCCUUUUUAC